CCUACGGGGGGCAGCAGUGGGGAAUAUUGGGCAAUGGGCGCAAGCCUGACCCAGCGACGCCGCGUGAGGGAAGACGGUCUUCGGAUUGUAAACCUCUUUCAGCAGGGAAGACAAAAGGACGGUACCUGCAGAAGAAGCCACGGCUAACUACGUGCCAGCAGCCGCGGUAAUACGGAGGAUGCGAGCGUUAUCCGGAUUCAUUGGGUUUAAAGGGUGCGCAGGCGGGCCUUUAAGCCGGCGGUGAAAUCGCGGGGCUCAACCCCGCCGAGCCGUCGGAACUGGGGGCCUUGAGUGCGGCGGAGGCAUGCGGAAUGCGCGGUGUAGCGGUGAAAUGCAUAGAUAUCGCGCAGAACCCCGAUUGCGAAGGCAGCGUGCCGUGCCGCCACUGACGCUGAGGCACGAAAGCGCGGGGAUCGAACAGGAUUAGAUACCCGUGUAGUC
rnacentral:rRNA from 1 species